ACAUCCAGCGAACUUGGCAGAGAUGCCCUGGUGCCUUCGGGAACGCUGAGACAGGUGCUGCAUGGCUGUCGUCAGCUCGUGUUGUGAAAUGUUGGGUUAAGUCCCGNAACGAGCGCAACCCUUAUCCUUUGUUGCCAGCGAUUCGGUCGGGAACUCAAAGGAGACUGCCGGUGAUAAACCGGAGGAAGGUGGGGAUGACGUCAAGUCAUCAUGGCCCUUACGAGUAGGGCUACACACGUGCUACAAUGGCGCAUACAAAGAGAAGCGACCUCGCGAGAGCAAGCGGACCUCAUAAAGUGCGUCGUAGUCCGGAUCGGAGCCUGCAACUCGACUCCGUGAAGUCGGAAUCGCUAGUAAUCGUGGAUCAGAAUGCCACGGUGAAUACGUUCCCGGGCCUUGUACACACCGCCCGUCACACCAUGGGAGUGGGUUGCAAAAGAAGUAGGUAGCUUAACCCUCGGGAGGGCGCUUACCACUUUGUGAUUCAUGACUGGGGUGAAGUCGUAACAAGGUAAGCGUAGUGCU
rnacentral:rRNA from 1 species